GGAGUCUGGGCCGUGUCUCAGUCCCAAUGUGGCCGUUCAUCCUCUCAGACCGGCUACUGAUCGUCGCCUUGGUGAGCCGUUACCCCACCAACUAGCUAAUCAGACGCAGGCCCAUCUCUAAGUGAUAGCUUACAAGUAGAGGCCAUCUUUAAUGAAUUCUCCAUGCGGAAAACUCACAACAUUCGGUAUUAGCAGCCCUUUCGGGCUGUUGUCCCCAUCUUAGAGGCAGGUUGCCUACGCGUUACUCACCCGUUUGCCACUAGACUUUUCAAAAGCAAGCUUCCAAUCAGUCCCGUUCGACUUGCAUGUGUUAAGCACGCCGCCAGCGUCGUCCUCGAGCCACGGAUCAAACUACU
rnacentral:rRNA from 1 species